rnacentral:tRNA from 1 species
AUAGUUUAGUGGGUAGAACACAUGUUUUACAAGCAUAGGGUUCUGAGUUUGAUUCCCUGU